rnacentral:lncRNA from 1 species
AAAUAUGAGGAAAAGUACUUACGGUGGAAGAACGCCGACACCGGAGAGCGCCGCCAUCUUGGAUGUCGUCGGAGCGAGCAGGAACGAGGCGAACAGGUCACGUGACGAAAUCGUCUUCGGAACAAGCAAAAAGUAGAUAUCGUCCGAUAUCUACUUCCAAUUUCGGAGACGACAUAUGUAACCAGAGGAUAUCGGGCAGAGUCACCAUUCUUAGAUUUCAUAAUGCACUUAGGUCAGAGGAUGUACCCAAUUCCCAGGCUGGGAAAAACUGCAGGAACUGACAAUCCUAGAAAUAAUAAAAAUGAUAUACUUAUAAACCAAAAAUUACUUAUUUUAAACGCCUUACCUUAUAAAUGGCCUACUUUAAUCAGGGGUCGUUCCAUCGACAUAUAUGGCGGAUAGGAGUGU